rnacentral:rRNA from 1 species
CCUACGGGUGGCAGCAGUGAGGAAUAUUGGUCAAUGGGCGGAAGCCUGAACCAGCCAAGCCGCGUGAGGGAUGAAGGUUCUAUGGAUUGUAAACCUCUUUUAUAAGGGAAUAAAGUGCGGGACGUGUCCCGUUUUGUAUGUACCUUAUGAAUAAGGAUCGGCUAACUCCGUGCCAGCAGCCGCGGUAAUACGGAGGAUCCGAGCGUUAUCCGGAUUUAUUGGGUUUAAAGGGUGCGUAGGCGGCCUUUUAAGUCAGCGGUGAAAGUCUGUGGCUCAACCAUAGAAGUGCCGUUGAAACUGGGUGGCUUGAGUAUGUUUGAGGCAGGCGGAAUGCGUGGUGUAGCGGUGAAAUGCUUAGAUAUCACGCAGAACCCCGAUUGCGAAGGCAGCCUGCCAAGCCAUGACUGACGCUGAUGCACGAAAGCGUGGGGAUCAAACAGGAUUAGAUACCCGGGUAGUC